rnacentral:rRNA from 1 species
UACAGAGGUCCCAAGCGUUGUUCGGAUUUAUUGGGCGUAAAGGGUGCGUAGGCGGCGGAGUAAGUUGGGUGUGAAAUCCCGGGGCUCAACCUCGGAAUUGCAUUCAAUACUGCUUCGCUCGAGUACUGGAGAGGAGACUGGAAUUUACGGUGUAGCAGUGAAAUGCGUAGAUAUCGUAAGGAAGGCCGGUGGCGAAAGCGAGUCUCUGGACAGUUACUGACGCUGAUGCACGAAGGCCAGGGGAGCAAACAGG